rnacentral:lncRNA from 1 species
GGGCGGUUGGGUGUGCUUUAGGGGUGAUGCCAAUCCCCUAACCAUCAAAAAAAAAUCGUUAGAAGUCGUCGUCGCCGUUGUCGUUGUCGUUGUCGUUGUUGUUCCUGCUGCUCUCUGGCCUCGUAUUUUGAUUGAUUUGAAUGUUACGUUGAGUGCGCUCUGGCUCUGGCUCUGGCUCUGCUCGGCUGAAUGUGUGACUGAUGAUUGAUGGACUUGGCCAGUACCCUGCACCCCAGCACCAGCCCUAACCCCCGGACGACCCUCCAAGAAACCAAAAAAAAAAAUUUAUUAAAUGCACAUACAAAUAUAUUUUCUUGUAGCCCAAAAAGGAAAAAAAUAUACUUCCGAUUUCCACGACAGAACAAAAAAAAAGAAAUGUAAUUUCCAGGGUCUGACAGGC